GAUGUUCACAGCAUAUAAAGUCCACCAUGUUGAUAAGGAGAAAGCAUCUUCACGUCUCAUUCUCACAUCUGGAAAACUGCAAUACAAUUCCAACAAUUCCAGGAUCGUGACGGCGUCGUUGAGAAGUGACUCUCCGAAGACGAUGAUGAAGAGCAUGUCGUUAACGUGAACUUCCUCAAAAACAGCCAGAACUGCCACAGGGUCCACAGCGGAGAUCAAAGCGCCGAACAACAGGAAGUCCAUCAGGUCGGCCUCCACACGCUCAUCUGUCUUGGCGGCGUGGAGGCCGAAGCCCGUGCAGAAGGCGUUCCACAGCGUUCCCACCACGGCGUACAUGAGGAUGGCUCCCAGGUUGUCGAAGAAGAGCCGGGCCGGCAUGAAGUACCCGGCGUCGCCCACAAUGGUGGGCAGCAGGAAGAGGAAGAACAGGGCGGGUUCUAGCUGGUACAGCUGCUUCUUAUUGGCCAAGAGCACCAGGCCGCCCAGAACCAGACCGAGCAGGAUCAGCAUGCAACUCUCUGGAACCACCGUGGUGAAGCGCUGGGACAAGUGGAACACUGCCAUGGCAACAACAUGUUGUUUACAUUAGCACUAGUCACACGCCACCCGUCAGCCCGGGUCGGGUUCUACGUUCACACACACAAGGACGGCAAAGGGACGAGUCCUCGGUGUCUGGUCUGUCGUUGCCGGUGAAGCCUGUCCACAAAAUGACGACGACAACAACAACACAUUGAUUGUGCCGCUGCACAACGCCGCCACUGUGUCACUCGUCACCAUGAACGUCCACUCGCGUGCAAAGAUUUAGCAAAGACUCAGCAUCCACUCAGAGGUCACUUCA